rnacentral:rRNA from 1 species
CAGUGAUAAACUGGAGGAAGGUGGGGAUGACGUCAAGUCAUCAUGGCCCUUACGACCAGGGCUACACACGUGCUACAAUGGCGCAUACAAAGAGAAGCGACCUCGCGAGAGCAAGCGGACCUCAUAAAGUGCGUCGUAGUCCGGAUUGGAGUCUGCAACUCGACUCCAUGAAGUCGGAAUCGCUAGUAAUCGUGGAUCAGAAUGCCACGGUGAAUACGUUCCCGGGCCUUGUACACACCGCCCGUCACACCAUGGGAGUGGGUUGCAAAAGAAGUAGGUAGCUUAACCUUCGGGAG